AAUUAUGUAAAUAUAUUUAUCAGAAUAAGGGAUAGAGUAUGGGGCGGCGGGUGAGGUGCAGAAGAAGAAUAAGAAGAAGUUGUACCUAUCCAGUAAUUUUAUCUUGAUUUGUGGACUAGACGAAGACUAGAUUUUGAUGAAGAAAUCGACAAACUUGAACUGCAGGACUCGUGGCGCUGCUCGCCUCCUCGCCAAUGCGAACGCGUUCUCUGAGGACAACCCGCCCAAGGCUACCAUGGCGAAGCCAC